CCCCUAGAUGUUCUGGGCCGCACGCGCGCUACACUGAACAGUUCAACAAGUCUUAACCUUGGCCGAUAGGUCUGGGUAAUCUUUGAACGCUGUUCGUGAUUGGGAUAGACCUUUGCAAUUAUGGGUCUUCAACGAGGAAUUCCUAGUAAACGCAAGUCAUCAGCUUGCAUUGAUUACGUCCCUGCCCUUUGUACACACCGCCCGUCGCUCCUACCGAUUGAAUGGUCCGGUGAAAAUUUCGGAUACCGGCAUUGCUGGCGGUUCGCCGCCGGCGACGCUGGUAGAAGAUCUUUAAACCUUAUCAUUUAGAGGAAGGAGAAGUCGUANCA
rnacentral:rRNA from 1 species